rnacentral:rRNA from 1 species
AUUGAACGCUGGCGGCAGGCCUAACACAUGCAAGUCGAGCGGAUGAAGGGAGCUUGCUCCUGGAUUCAGCGGCGGACGGGUGAGUAAUGCCUAGGAAUCUGCCUGGUAGUGGGGGAUAACGUCCGGAAACGGGCGCUAAUACCGCAUACGUCCUGAGGGAGAAAGUGGGGGAUCUUCGGACCUCACGCUAUCAGAUGAGCCUAGGUCGGAUUAGCUAGUUGGUGGGGUAAAGGCCUACCAAGGCGACGAUCCGUAACUGGUCUGAGAGGAUGAUCAGUCACACUGGCACUGAGACACGGUCCCGACUCCUACGGGAGGCAGCAGUGGGGAAUAUUGGAAAAUGGGCGAAAGCCUGAUCCAGCCAUGCCGCGUGUGUGAAGAAGGUCUUCGGAUUGUAAAGCACUUUAAGUUGGGAGGAAGGGCAGUAAGUUAAUACCUUGCUGUUUUGACGUUACCAACAGAAUAAGCACCGGCUAACUUCGUG